rnacentral:rRNA from 1 species
GAUGAACGCUGGCGGCGUGCUUAACACACGCAAGUCGAACGGUGAAGGCGGAGCUUGCUCUGCUGGAUCAGUGGCGAACGGGUGAGUAACACGUGAGCAAUCUGCCCCUGACUCUGGGAUAAGCGCUGGAAACGGCGUCUAAUACUGGAUACGAGCUGCGAAGGCAUCUUCAGCAGCUGGAAAGAACUUCGGUCAGGGAUGAGCUCGCGGCCUAUCAGCUUGUUGGUGAGGUAACGGCUCACCAAGGCGUCGACGGGUAGCCGGCCUGAGAGGGUGACCGGCCACACUGGGACUGAGACACGGCCCAGACUCCUACGGGAGGCAGCAGUGGGGAAUAUUGCACAAUGGGCGAAAGCCUGAUGCAGCAACGCCGCGUGAGGGACGACGGCCUUCGGGUUGUAAACCUCUUUUAGCAGGGAAGAAGCGAAAGUGACGGUACCUGCAGAAAAAGCGCCGGCUAACUACGUG